rnacentral:rRNA from 1 species
UGCCAGCAGCCGCGGUAAUACGGAGGGUGCAAGCGUUGUUCGGAAUUAUUGGGCGUAAAGCGUGCGUAGGCGGACUAUUAAGUCUGGUGUGAAAUCCCUCGGCUCAACCGAGGACGUGCAUUGGAUACUGGUAGUCUUGAGUCCUGGAGAGGAGAGCGGAAUUCCUAGUGUAGAGGUGAAAUUCGUAGAUAUUAGGAGGAACACCAGCGGCGAAAGCGGCUCUCUGGACAGUGACUGACGCUGAGGCACGAAAGCAUAGGUAGCAAACAGGAUUAGAUA